rnacentral:rRNA from 1 species
GGGUUGUGAGGUUAAGCGACUAAGCGUACACGGUGGAUGCCCUGGCAGUCAGAGGCGAUGAAGGACGUGCUAAUCUGCGAUAAGCGUCGGUAAGGUGAUAUGAACCGUUAUAACCGGCGAUUUCCGAAUGGGGAAACCCAGUGUGUUUCGACACACUAUCAUUAACUGAAUCCAUAGGUUAAUGAGGCGAACCGGGGGAACUGAAACAUCUAAGUACCCCGAGGAAAAGAAAUCAACCGAGAUUCCCCCAGUAGCGGCGAGCGAACGGGGAGCAGCCCAGAGCCUGAAUCAGUGUGUGUGUUAGUGGAAGCGUCUGGAAAGGCGCGCGAUACAGGGUGACAGCCCCGUACACAAAAAUGCACAUACUGUGAGCUCGAUGAGUAGGGCGGGACACGUGGUAUCCUGUCUGAAUAUGGGGGGACCAUCCUCCAAGGCUAAAUACUCCUGACUGACCGAUAGUGAACCAGUACCGUGAGGGAAAGGCGAAAAGAACCCCGGCGAGGGGAGUGAAAAAGAACCUGAAACCGUGUACGUACAAGCAGUGGGAGCACGCUUAGGCGUGUGACUGCGUACCUUUUGUAUAAUGGGUCAGCGACUUAUAUUCUGUAGCAAGGUUAACCGAAUAGGGGAGCCGAAGGGAAACCGAGUCUUAACUGGGCGUUAAGUUGCAGGGUAUAGACCCGAAACCCGGUGAUCUAGCCAUGGGCAGGUUGAAGGUUGGGUAACACUAACUGGAGGACCGAACCGACUAAUGUUGAAAAAUUAGCGGAUGACUUGUGGCUGGGGGGUGAAAGGCCAAUCAAACCGGGAGAUAGCUGGUUCUCCCCGAAAGCUAUUUAGGUAGCGCCUCGUGAAUUCAUCUCCGGGGGUAGAGCACUGUUUCGGCAAGGGGGUCAUCCCGACUUACCAACCCGAUGCAAACUGCGAAUACCGGAGAAUGUUAUCACGGGAGACACACGGCGGGUGCUAACGUCCGUCGUGAAGAGGGAAACAACCCAGACCGCCAGCUAAGGUCCCAAAGUCAUGGUUAAGUGGGAAACGAUGUGGGAAGGCCCAGACAGCCAGGAUGUUGGCUUAGAAGCAGCCAUCAUUUAAAGAAAGCGUAAUAGCUCACUGGUCGAGUCGGCCUGCGCGGAAGAUGUAACGGGGCUAAACCAUGCACCGAAGCUGCGGCAGCGACGCUUAUGCGUUGUUGGGUAGGGGAGCGUUCUGUAAGCCUGUGAAGGUGUGCUGUGAGGCAUGCUGGAGGUAUCAGAAGUGCGAAUGCUGACAUAAGUAACGAUAAAGCGGGUGAAAAGCCCGCUCGCCGGAAGACCAAGGGUUCCUGUCCAACGUUAAUCGGGGCAGGGUGAGUCGACCCCUAAGGCGAGGCCGAAAGGCGUAGUCGAUGGGAAACAGGUUAAUAUUCCUGUACUUGGUGUUACUGCGAAGGGGGGACGGAGAAGGCUAUGUUGGCCGGGCGACGGUUGUCCCGGUUUAAGCGUGUAGGCUGGUUUUCCAGGCAAAUCCGGAAAAUCAAGGCUGAGGCGUGAUGACGAGGCACUACGGUGCUGAAGCAACAAAUGCCCUGCUUCCAGGAAAAGCCUCUAAGCAUCAGGUAACAUCAAAUCGUACCCCAAACCGACACAGGUGGUCAGGUAGAGAAUACCAAGGCGCUUGAGAGAACUCGGGUGAAGGAACUAGGCAAAAUGGUGCCGUAACUUCGGGAGAAGGCACGCUGAUAUGUAGGUGAAGUCCCUCGCGGAUGGAGCUGAAAUCAGUCGAAGAUACCAGCUGGCUGCAACUGUUUAUUAAAAACACAGCACUGUGCAAACACGAAAGUGGACGUAUACGGUGUGACGCCUGCCCGGUGCCGGAAGGUUAAUUGAUGGGGUCAGCGCAAGCGAAGCUCUUGAUCGAAGCCCCGGUAAACGGCGGCCGUAACUAUAACGGUCCUAAGGUAGCGAAAUUCCUUGUCGGGUAAGUUCCGACCUGCACGAAUGGCGUAAUGAUGGCCAGGCUGUCUCCACCCGAGACUCAGUGAAAUUGAACUCGCUGUGAAGAUGCAGUGUACCCGCGGCAAGACGGAAAGACCCCGUGAACCUUUACUAUAGCUUGACACUGAACAUUGAGCCUUGAUGUGUAGGAUAGGUGGGAGGCUUAGAAGUGUGGACGCCAGUCUGCAUGGAGCCGACCUUGAAAUACCACCCUUUAAUGUUUGAUGUUCUAACGUUGACCCGUAAUCCGGGUUGCGGACAGUGUCUGGUGGGUAGUUUGACUGGGGCGGUCUCCUCCUAAAGAGUAACGGAGGAGCACGAAGGUUGGCUAAUCCUGGUCGGACAUCAGGAGGUUAGUGCAAUGGCAUAAGCCAGCUUGACUGCGAGCGUGACGGCGCGAGCAGGUGCGAAAGCAGGUCAUAGUGAUCCGGUGGUUCUGAAUGGAAGGGCCAUCGCUCAACGGAUAAAAGGUACUCCGGGGAUAACAGGCUGAUACCGCCCAAGAGUUCAUAUCGACGGCGGUGUUUGGCACCUCGAUGUCGGCUCAUCACAUCCUGGGGCUGAAGUAGGUCCCAAGGGUAUGGCUGUUCGCCAUUUAAAGUGGUACGCGAGCUGGGUUUAGAACGUCGUGAGACAGUUCGGUCCCUAUCUGCCGUGGGCGCUGGAGAACUGAGGGGGGCUGCUCCUAGUACGAGAGGACCGGAGUGGACGCAUCACUGGUGUUCGGGUUGUCAUGCCAAUGGCACUGCCCGGUAGCUAAAUGCGGAAGAGAUAAGUGCUGAAAGCAUCUAAGCACGAAACUUGCCCCGAGAUGAGUUCUCCCUGACUCCUUGAGAGUCCUGAAGGAACGUUGAAGACGACGACGUUGAUAGGCCGGGUGUGUAAGCGCAGCGAUGCGUUGAGCUAACCGGUACUAAUGAACCGUGAGGCUUAACCUUACAACGCCGAAGCUGUU